rnacentral:rRNA from 1 species
CAAUAGCGUAUAUUAAAGUUGUUGCGGUAAAAAAGCUCGUAGUUGGAUUUCUACCGAAGAUAGCCGGUCGGGUCUUCGACCUUGUAUCUGGUUUUGUCUUUGGUAUCCUCAUAGGGAACGUUUCUGCGCUUUAUUGCGUGGUGCGGCAUCUAUGACUUUUACUUUGAGGAAAUUAGAGUGUUCACGGCAGGCAAACGCCUUGAAUAUAUUAGCAUGGAAUAAUAACAUAGGAUCUUCGUCCUAUUUUGUUGGUUUCUAGGGCUAAGAUAAUGAUUAAUAGGGAUAAUUGGGGGCAUCUGUAUCAACGCGUCAGAGGUGGAAUUCUUGGAUUGCGUUGCGACAAACUACUGCGAAAGCAUUUGCCAAGGAUGUUUUCAUUGA